rnacentral:rRNA from 1 species
UGGGGAAUUUUGCGCAAUGGGGGAAACCCUGACGCAGCAACGCCGCGUGGAGGAUGAAGUACUUCGGUACGUAAACUCCUUUCGAUCGGGACGAUAAUGACGGUACCGGAAGAAGAAGCCCCGGCUAACUUCGUGCCAGCAGCCGCGGUAAUACGAGGGGGGCAAGCGUUGUUCGGAAUUAUUGGGCGUAAAGGGUGCGUAGGCGGUUUGGUAAGUCUUAUGUGAAAUCUCCGGGCUCAACUCGGAGUCUGCAUGGGAAACUGCCGGGCUUGAGUGUGGGAGAGGUGAGUGGAAUUUCCGGUGUAGCGGUGAAAUGCGUAGAUAUCGGAAGGAACACCUGUGGCGAAAGCGGCUCACUGGACCACAACUGACGCUGAUGCACGAAAGCUAGGGGAGCAAACAGGAUUAGAUACCCUGGUAGUCCUAGCCCUAAACGAUGACUGCUUGGUGUGACGGGUACCCAAUCCCGCCGUGCCGUAGCUAACGCGUUAAGCAGUCCGCCUGGGGAGUACGGUCGCAAGGCUG